UACGGAGGGUGCUAGCGUUGUUCGGAAUGACUGGGCGUAAAGGGCGCGUAGGCGGCCGGUUGCGUCGGAUGUGAAAGCCCGGGGCUCAACCCCGGAACGGCAUCCGAUACGGGCUGGCUCGAGACCGAGAGAGGUGAGUGGAAUACCCAGUGUAGAGGUGAAAUUCGUAGAUAUUGGGUGGAACACCGGUGGCGAAAGCGGCUCACUGGCUCGGUUCUGACGCUGAGGUGCGAAAGCGUGGGGAGCAAACAGG
rnacentral:rRNA from 1 species